CUCCUCUGUACAAAGAAUACAAACCGAACUUGUUCAACCUUUGCCUGCAACUUGGAUGCUGAAACCUAGGUGCUGAAACCCAGGUAACAUUCUGGUAAAUCUCCUCUGUACAAAGAAUACAAACCGAACUUGUUCAACCUUUGCCUGCAACUUGGAUGCUGAAACCUAGGUGCUGAAACCCAGGUAACAUUCUGGUAAAUCUCCUCUGUACAAAGAAUACAAACCGAACUUGUUCAACCUUUGCCUG